rnacentral:tRNA from 1 species
GUUAGAGUAUUGCUUUCAUACGGCAGGAGUCAUUGGUUCAAAUCCAAUAGUAGGUAGAGCUAGAACUUAUUCG